rnacentral:rRNA from 1 species
UACGUAGGCAGCGAGCGUUGUUCGGAAUUACUGGGCGUAAAGAGUGUGUAGGCGGUGCUCCCAGUCUGUUGUGAAAUCUCCCGGCUUAACUGGGAGGGUGCAGCGGAAACUAGAGUGCUAGAGGGUGGGAGAGGUAAGCGGAAUUCCUGGUGUAGCGGUGAAAUGCGUAGAUAUCAGGAGGAAUACCGAUGGCGAAGGCAGGUCUCUGGGCUGACACUGACGCUCAUGCACGAAAGCGUGGGGAGCAAACAGG